GACGAACCACACAACCGUUAUUCGGAAUUACUGGGCUUAAAGGGUGCGUAGGCGGCGCGGAAAGUAGGGUGUGAAAUCCCUCAGCUCAACUGAGGAACUGCGCUCUAAACUACCGUGCUUGAGGGAGAUAGAGGUGAGCGGAACUUAGGGUGGAGCGGUGAAAUGCGUUGAUAUCCUAAGGAACACCGGUGGCGAAAGCGGCUCACUGGAUCUCUUCUGACGCUGAGGCACGAAAGCUAGGGGAGCGAACGGG
rnacentral:rRNA from 1 species